rnacentral:rRNA from 1 species
UAGGGAAUCUUCCGCAAUGGGCGAAAGCUUGCCGGAGCAACGCCGCGUGAGUGAUGACGGUCUUCGGUUCGUAAAACUCUGUUAUUAGGGAAGAACAAAUGUGUAAGUAACUAUGCACGUCUUGACGGUACCUAAUCAGAAAGCCACGGCUACCUACGUGCCAGCAGCUGCGGUAAUACGUAGGUGGCAAGCGUUACCCGGAAUUAUUGGGCGUAAAGCGCGCGUAGGCGGUUUUUUAAGUCUGAUGUGAAAGCCCACGGCUUAACCGUGGAGGGUCAUUGGAAACUGGAAAACUUGAGUGCAGAAGAGGAAAGUGGAAUUCCAUGUGUAUCGGUGAAAUGCGCAGAGAUAUGGAGGAUCACCAGUGGCGAAGGCGACUUUCUGGUCUGUAACUGACGCUGAUGUGCGAAAGCGUGGUGAUCAAACAGG